GGUGGGGGGGGGGGGGUGAGGAGAUGGAUGAGGGGACGCAGUGGGGGAAGGGGUAAUGUGAGUAGGGGGCUGAAGAAGAGGGAGGACAAGAAUUAGGAGGAAGAGACGGAAGAAGACAGGAGUGGAAAAAAUAAGCAUGGGGAGGAGAAAGAGGAGGGGCAUAAGAGAAAAGAAUAGGGAAGUGGGAGGAGCAAGAGGAGGGGCAUACGAUAAAAGAGAGAGGGGGUGGGGGGGUGAUGGCCAAACAUAAGAGCCAGGCAUUGCAGGAGAAAGAAUAGUUGAGGGAGGGUGAUAUGUUGAUGGGCACUGAGGCCAAAGAGGACAGUAAGAAGAGAUCAAGGAGGAGAAAAGAAAGAGGGAUGAGGAGAGAGAAAUGUGCUUGAGAGGGUAAGAAAAGAAGAGCAAGGGGACGAGGGAAGAGGAGGGAGUGUGGCCAAGGAACAGAGAAUAGAGAGAGAGGAAGUGUGGGACGACGUGAGGAAGAGGAGGAGGAGGUGAAGGAGAGGAGGUGAAGGAGAGGAGGUGAGGGAGAAGAGGGUGGUGGGCGUCGGGAGUCAGAGUCACUUUCGUCACAACGAUUGCGUCGCGUUGAUUGGAGGUGUGAACGCAGCAAAAUCUGACAAAUCUCUCUCACAAGCCGAGGCAAAAAACGACUGUGUGUGUGUGCGUUUGUCUGUGCGUGUGUGAGCGUGUGUGCGUUAAACUGUAGCUUUUCCAUCAAACCGUCUUGUUUGGGUUUGUGUCUCCAGCACUGUGUGGUCCACGUCCCCAGAGACACGGAGCCCGAGUGGAUAACAGUAAAACACCCACACAAAAAGAUCUCACUCCGCACCGACCAAAUCAUGUCGUUGAGAGAGCUAAAUGAAAAGGAAUGAACUAUUAUUAUUUAGAACUAUUUAUGUUGAACUUCAACAAUAAUGUGGGGAUUUUAAAGUAGGUUGUGAGUAAUGGAUUUAAACAACUUUUUAGCAUUAAACAGCCCAUUAAAUGUACGUGAGACCUCCAGCAGAGAAACCUUAUUACUGCUCAUUUUGAAACGCUUGCAUGUCGUCUUUUCAAAAUAAACUUCCAUCUUCACAGGCAACUAAUGCGAUAGGUGACGGUUCUCUGUUUAGCAGGUUCUGUCUUGCAUGAUUUUACUCACCACAUUAAGGGACACAAAACGCUAAAGCGUUCCAGGGAAAAUGUCCUGAAGGACCCAAAGAGCUCAAUAGAAACAUUGUCGUGACUGAUUUCAUGGGUUAGCUUGAGAAUCGGAUCAGAUCGAAUGCCAAUUGUCACCAUCCAACAUACUGGGGAAUUUCACCUCGUUAAAGUCACAAUCUUUAAGAUUCCAACCGACACACGUGGUUACCGUGGUAACUGCCAGAGCGAGAGCCAGUUGAAAACUAAAGCGGCAGCUGCUUAGUCAGGAAUACAACAGGAGAGCAGCUGGUGUUUCUGUUUACCGACGCAUGUUGUUUUAAUAAGGAAGUCUGCAAAUAGUCGGCCUUUUACCCAUCACGCCACGAGCAACGGCGAGCUCACUUCAUGCUCCCCACGCCUGCCGCAGUACUUUCCCACCCAGCAGCAGGACACAGUGAAGGAAGAGUUGGGGCGCUCGCCCUGCAGAUGGAGCUCCGCGGGGUUUUUCCCCCGACUGAUCCCUCAUGUACUGAAUCCUCCAGAACUGAUCCGUGCCAGAGAAGUGACCGACGUGUCCGUCCCUUGUUCACACGCUGGCUGUUGGUUCUACACUUUGUGACAAACACACUACUACAGAACAUGAAUGCAAACGGAAACGUUUGAUUUCAUGCAAAUCUGUAGGUUAGAUAAAAGUGCACGUUAAACUUUGUGAUGUAAGGUUACAUACGAUGUGUGCAGGCACGUGUCCGCGACCGGCCUCGGUUCAGUCCUGCACAGUUACCGUCUACUUUCCUCUUGUUUUGCGCCGUUAUGAUGUUUCCACAUACAGAUUUAGGCCGAUGAACAUGUGUCCCAACAUGCACGCGCCUGCCGAUGUGUAACAGACGGCCGAGCAGACCCGCUUGUUUGUUCAAUCUGUGGCUCAGCCGCUUCGAAUCAAAUCUCAUGUGAUUAGCUCUGUCAUGUGCUCAAGUUUACUGUGUGUCUGUGUGUGUGUGUAGCUUGUUGUGGUCCGGCUCAUGUCUGUCUGAGCGUGUGGUCUGUAGGAAUAGUGUUGACUCUGAGUCAGGUGGCUUUGAGCAGAUGUUCCCAUAACACCUGCUCCCGUUUCCUCAUUAAGGGCAAAUGUUGGACAGUGUUGUAUACAACGUUUGUUAUAUACAGCGUUGUAUACAGUGUUGUAUACAGCGUUGUAUACAGCGUCCAACUUGUUACAAAUCAAAAACAAGACAAAGGCUUCUCCCAAAUGAACAGGACACAUGUUUACAUAAAUGAAGCCUAGGAAGACAAGGGUAGAUUACACGAUUACAUGCUGUUUUUGAAUACAGUACCAGUCAAAAGUUUGGACACACCUUCUCAUUCAAUUCAACCCUUUGCCUGGUACUGUAAGAUGUUUGACUUCAUUUCUUUCUCCAAUUAAACUGAUUUAUUAAAGAAAAAAUCCACAACGAGGUGUAACAGCCGCCCCGUAACACCUUACGCCACCAGUCCCAGCGAAGCUGAGGUUUUGGGGAAAUACUAGGGCUGUAACGAUUCAUUCACUGAAUCGAUUAAUCAAUUUAUAUUCCUGCGAUCCAACUGAAUCGAUCUGUGCUCCGCAAAUCGGCAUUCCGGACAACAUAUAUCGAUUACAAAUCGAUUGAAAUGGUACAUAAUCGAUUGUAUCAAUACUUGGAAACUGCACAUUGGAUUUAAGUACAAAAACGGUAUGGAUGUGUGUGUGUUUGUUUGUUUUUUAGCCCUUUAGACACGUUAAACGUUACUCGAUUCAGUCUGCCUGUCUGUGACGUCAUCAGUACGCAGCGGCUGCAGCCGCGCGAAACUCGGAACAACAAAACACAGCGUGGAGGAGACGACUGCGAGCGAGACAUUUACAAACCAACUUAUCGAUCCAGCGCGUGGAAACAUUUUGGCUUUUGCAAACACGGAGGUGUUCUAAAUAAGUCGGUCGCUGUUUGUAGAAUAUGUAGAAGCCAAAUAAAAAACACGGAAACAGGACGAAUCUUUGCGGCCAUCUACUAAGGCGCCGUGGGAUUAAACAACGCCGACAGUCAGGACCUCUAGCAGCGUCACCGCUGCAGCAGCAGCAGGUAACUGCAGCUCUGCAGACACCUCAGGCCUCGCCAGCACCAAACCCAACAUCACAGUAACAAUUGCCAAGUUUAUCUGUAAAGACUUGCGACCCUACAAUGUGGUUGAAAAUCCGGGGUUCUGUGCAUUGAUCCAAACAUUGUGUAAUUAUUGUGUAAUGUUUACAUUGAAAAUGGCACUUGAUUCAAAUAAAAAGGUUAAUACACUUGCCAUUAAUUGUUGCUUGUUUAUAAUAUCCAUAAUUAAUUUAAACCUGUUUUCCUUACAAGAAACAACAGGGAUCUCAGAAACUGAGCCAAAGUUACUGAAUCGAUUUCAAGUCACUGAAUCGAAUCGUUCUAAAUUAACCCAGAUCGUCCAUGAAUCGAAUCGGCAACCAUGAAUCGUAAUUCGAAUCGAAUCGUUGUUAAAAUGAAUCGUUAUACCGCUAGUAAAUACACUCUUUGAACAACGACACAAUUGUGCUUUCUGAUUCUGCAAAAUGAAUAUUUGGACAAAUGCUUUAACUCGUCACAAAUACUGAUUUUCAAAUUCAAAUUUUUAAUGAUAAUUAAGAUGAUUUUUAAGAAUGAAGACAUAAUUGUAUUUGGUGCGUGACAGGUUUUGUAUUAAUCAGUAGAGUGUGCGCCCUCACAAAGAAAUGGAGACAAUAAACAAUUGGCUUUUAACGUUUUGAUUAUGAUGAUGUUUAACCGCGUCUGUUCAUUUCGAUGAACAGAAACAGAGAGGUGGGGAACUCUGUUCUUCUUGAGGAGCUUCAGCUGUGCAGAGCGUCUUUAGCCUCCAUUAGUUUGGGUGAAAGAGCCAAAUGGAGAAAGAUUUGAAACUCAUCCACAUUAGCGGAGGCACGGCUUAAUAACAAAAGGGAGGAAAUCAGACAGUGAGGCCCAGAUCUUCCUGGAGACUGAGAGAGAAAAAGAGUUCUCACUUAUUCCCUGUAGUCUGACCCUUCGCUCACCCCGGCUCCCCCCUCCUGACUCCCUCCCUCCCUCCCUCUCGGUGUCCAAACAGAGCGUACAGCUUGAAGGGGAAACACACGAUGGACACACAAUAGAAACGGAGCAUGAUGAAGCGCACGCCUCACAAUCCCGUUUGGGGGACCGUUUGUGUACGUUUGGAUGCAGUUAGGGUCGAGCAGCCAGCGGGUGUGGAGGUGGGUUGCCAGGUUGGCUCGACCCGCACCAGUGCCUCUAUGCCGCCGUCACCACCAACCGCACUAAAUAUCAUAGCGAUUUUUCAGGAAAGCACAUGGUUUGACAUGCUUACUCUUUAUGUUGAUGAAACAUCUGGUGGGAGAAAGAUCCGCUGAAGAAGUGAAUCGAUGGAUCGAGCUCUUACAGAAUCACGUGUAUCAUGUUUGAAAGGGAAAAGAAGAAAAAACACAAAAACUACAUAGUGAAGUAUGAAAAAAAAAAAAGCAUCUGUCAAACAUGUCUGAGCACGUCCAGCCUCACAUUUGUGUUUGGACUUAAAAUGAAGCUAGUUGUAGCAGAGAUGCGAAUGCACGAAAGAGACACACUCGGCCCGGCUGCAGGUGCCUCCAAUUAAGACGUCGAGUCUUGAGUGACGGAUUUCUGCUCGUCCCAAAAGCUGUCGUUCAAAAUUGGAUUUUUCGGGGGAUUUUUUUAUUCAUGCUUUCGUGAGGUUUCCAAGAAAAAAUAUUCUGGGGCCUGUUGAAUAUUACAAACAAACUAUGAUCUGACUAUAUGAAAAAAUAUAAUUAAUAAGGAAAUGCAUGCAGUGUAACACCUAUUAUAAAAUGAACAAUGUUGUUUGUCUGUGCAUCUUUGAACACAACGGGACCUCCUGACCUGCCACCGGGAGGAAACCCCCCCUUGUCCGGCCCUUUGGUUGGUUCCUGGUUUUCUGUGAAACUAACUGUGAACAAGCACCAAAACAGUUUGUUGAUUUUAAUCAACUGAAUCAGUGCCAUGCAAUUUUUGGUACCUGAUUCCAUAUUAACAUUGAUACCGUGUUAUAGGAUGUUAUAGAAGGCUCGAUGAAUUAAAGGGAAAGAAGACACUUAAUGACUGAAGAAUUGUCUCCAGCAGACCAGCCAAUCACAGCUCAGCUCUGCCCAGUCCUUCAUCUUCACUUGACGAGUGUUUCUGGUGAAACCACGAGCUUUCCACUGGUUGUCAGUGUCGCUUCUCCGCUCGACCACAGUCCUGUAAUGUGGUCUGUUCGAGCCGCCCUGCUCUCCCCGUACGCCCACAUUUGCCACAGUGCCACAGGGAUUUCGAGCUCUGUAUUCCGUCCUCCAUACCCCCCCUCCACCCCAUUCUCCGCCGCCUCCACAUCAAAUAAAGAUGAAGGUGUCGCCCUAAUCGACAUUGUUGCCAAUGAAUCAUUUAGCAGUGUUAGUCUAACAUCCCAGAUUCCAGGUCAGUGCGUCUCACUGCUCAUCCCUGAGCCAGCAGGGAUCGGCUUGGAUCGGCUUGGAUCGGCCUGCUGCUCUGCUGCAGACUGACGCCUCUGUUGCCAACCGGCAAACUCUCUCCGUGUCCCCGGCCGUCCCCCGGGCCCCGGACCCCCCGGCCCCGCUGCGUGCAGACACUCCCCUGCUGGAGCGGAGAAAUGCUGAGGGGGUGGAAUAUGUUAGUGUGCCGUUAGCUCAGCUCACCAUGGAAUAACGGUUUUGGUACAAAUCCGGUUUGUAAAUUAGCUGUACGUCUUCGGGCACGUUUUGGUUUUUUAUUUUAGCACACUUGUUGUGAAGUUCUCGAUCUUUAACUCCCCCGGCAUUUGGAAUCUUGUCUUUGGUUUGGUGGCUGAGUUGACAAGCGUCAGUGUGGGUGAUUCAUUAUAUGUCAUUUGACAUAAUUUUCUUUUAUAUCCUUAAAGUGUUACAUUUUGAGUUUGACUAAUACUACUUUGAAUGCAACGUGUUCUAUAUAUGUGUGUAAUCUAUUCCCUGACGAAGAGAGCCUAAUCAAAUGAUGUCUUCCUUCUUACUUUAUAUAUUCACGAGUUGACUUUGUAAUUCAUUUCUGCAUAAGCUCAAUUGAUUAAAGUAAAGCACAUAACACGUGCAGGGCUGCGUAUGGAAACUGCUCAGAACUCUUAAAUUUGAGUUACUGUGUGUGGAAAAAAAGGUCUUUCUCUGAAUGAAAGUGAACAUUCAGAGCAUGAGGAAGCUUGGGUGUACGUUUUUUUGUUAUGUGUAUAAUAAUUUUGUAUAUUUUGCCAUUGACGCAUGUGUGUGCGUCAAUGGCUCUGUGCGAGUCUAUGUGUGUGCGUGCGUGCGUGUGCUUUGUAAGAGCGCUGCAGUGUUACAAAUCAGUAAAAGUAGGUCAGGAGAGGAGGACUCCCUGGAAGACGAUGUGAACUCGUCACCUUGAAUCGCGUUGCAGGCUGCUGAGGGGAGAGAUGGAUGGAGAGGAAGAGUAGUGGGAGGAGGAGGAGGAGGAGAUCUCCAGAAAAGAGAAGAAAGUAGAGGGAGAGAGGAAGAGGUGCUGAGCGUGAAGGAGCGAAGAGGACAAACAAUAAAAUGUGUCCAAAGUGAAAGGAUCAACAAUAGGUCCUGCUGGCUAUCACGGGUGCAUCCGUCCUCAAUGGGUCGAUUUAGAAUAGUUCAAUAUCACACACACUGCAAGGAACAAUUUAAACUAAAACACAUUAUUUGUUGAGUCCUGACAAAUGUUUGUUUUUUCUCCUGAAAGGUUUUCAAACCUGAAGGAUUAUUAUAUCUUAUGAUAUUUCGUCUGUACUACUAUUUAUACUACACCACAUACUUUUCAUGUAACUGCAUUUGUGAUAAAUAAUAAUAAAAAGAUAAUAACAAGUCAAGCCAAUCCAAUCACUUAUUUAAACCGAGGGACGGGAAUAGACAAAGUCUGUUGGAUGUUGUGUUUGAGGUAAUUGUGAUAAAACAAAAGAAAAUGUGAUUGUGAGUUUAGAAGCCACUCAGUGUUAUAAGCUAACAAACUAAAUACAGACAGCGGUUAAAGUAUCACAACCCUAAUACAUUUCUUCAGCCUCUUUCCUUCAAUCUUAUUCACUCACAUCCCCGGUGAAGGAAUCAAAGCGCCACAAAUGAUGGAAGACGGGGAAAUGAUGGCGUGAGACAUCAUAAUCGACACCUUCAUUGACAUUGAUGGAGCUCAGGGCUCAUGUGAAAGGGAAACUAGGAUAGAACAGGAGCGAGGUGAUGAAAAAUGAACACUCAGGGAUGUUUGAACAUCUCAGUGACGGAACGUGACAUGUAAAUAGCGUGUAAUGAGGGUCACCCAGUCCCACGCACGGCAGACUUGUUCUUGUCAUUUGGCUAUGGACAUCCAAGUCAAUUACUAUGAAGGUCAUUGGGUAAUGGGCGUGUUAUUGAAGAGGUGAAGACUGCAUAAAGGUCCCAGGUGGACGGAUCUAAGGAAAAAAAACAAUUUAUUAAGAUGGCAAAAGAUUGUCCUUGACGAUUUUACUAUCAAAUUGAGGGAAGAAACAACAAAACAGAGGUUACAAUAUACAACCACAGUCUGAACCCUCUGCAAGACACACAAUCUGUGAUGCAGACACAUUGAGCAAGUUUUACUUUGCACCCCCGUCUGCCGCACAACAGGGGCAAUACAAAGGGCAUGCAGCUGUAUAACACCGCCCUGAAAAAAUUAAGAUCUUGGGGCCGACGGUUCAAAAGUCCAGGCCUUCUUUUCAUGUCCGCACACAUCCGUAUUAAAGCAAUAUGGAAAUUAAAUCCAUUUACAGCUCAGGGAUUUCAAAGUACGACGCACAAAAAUAUCCUUGUAGCCAUAAAAUCCAAAUUGAGGAGAAACAAAUGUACCGGGACAGGACGGUCUACUGUUACCAUGGUGAUAAGUUGGUGGUAGACAGAUUCGGAUUCACGUAGAGGUCGUCACGAUUUUAAGGCUCCGCUGAAUUAAACAACUGCGCACACGGAGACUGAGGAGGAGAGGAGGGCUUAGAAAUCCUGGAUUAGUGGGGCUAAAGAAGAGAGAGCAAAGCCAUUCAACCUGCUCAGUCGUAAAACAUGAUGGAGUCACAUCCAGUGAAGUCACAGAAAAGAGACGCAGGAAUGAGCAGAGACAGAAGGAGAUGGAGAGGUUUACUUAGGUGGAAGGAAAGAGGUGAAUAGUGAAUUCUCCCUGUAUGGGAGGAGGUUUCCUUCAGCGUUGGUCCCAGUCAAAAUACACCACAGACUCCUGUGACGUUGCGUCACUGCGACAAACCCCAAAUAGGCACAAAUCUGACCUGUGUGUCUUUGGACAACGGAUGAGUUUGAUGAAGAUUAAGGAAUAUGCGCAUUAUGAAUAAAUAACUAUAUGUUAUUAGUACUUAAUCCGUAGUUAAGGGGUACAGGUUUAGCAUCCAAUGCAUUCAAAUUUACAGGCCAAGUCGAUGAAAGACAAAUCCUAGUUCUCAUUCUCACAUUUUCAAACUGGCUUGACCUUUAGAUGAACUGUGUUAAUUCAAAUUGAUUUAUUCUUAUAAAAUAAUACAAAAGUGUUGUUUUGGAAAUAUGGCGCAACAAAAUCCAUCCAAUAAAAGAUCACAACAUGGAUUUAGAACACAUUUUGUAUCAAACCCACACUCAAAACAGAUGCAAACAUCUGCAGUACUCACCCCAGUUAUUGGAGGCUUUAAAGUCAAGGUUUGUUCAUCCAGCAGAUGACACAACCCAUUGAUCUUCAGUUCUGAGGUAGGGUUAUUUGGAUGAGGGGAAAGCACCAAUAAUGGAAUGGAAGAAAAGGUUUUUAUUACUUGGAACUAAUUGCUAUGGUUGACAUAUCUGUAGGUUAGUUGUGUUUUUUGAUGACAUUUUGUGGAUUUGUGUAGCAUUUUGUGUAGAAGAACAUAUUUUUAACUCCAUAGAUGCAGUUUCUUAAGCAACGUGAAAUCCCACACGACAUCACAACAAAACACAUAAAACAAAAUACGACAGCGAGGGAGAAUGAAACAGCGAGAUGAGACAGAAGCUUAACUCAGUCUGUAAAAACCUUAAAAUCAGAAAGAGAGCCCUUGGGUAAAAAGAAAUAGCGAGAGAGAGAAUAUAGAGGAAAAAAAAUAAAAUGUGUGUCGAGAGCUCCUGAAAAGUUGUCAAACAAGAUCUAGAUUGAUUUUUAUUUUCCUGACCGGGGCGUUUUCGGCUGCUCUAAGCAGACAUGAAAGAUGAGGAAACUGCUGUCUGAAGCUUUUCCCAAAUCCUAUGACAAAAUCUUCUCAGUGGAAGACAGAAAAACAGAUGAAGCAGCUGCAGAGACGAUCACUCAGGGAAAGCAAAUCCCUCUAUAAAUCGGAACGUUAACGUGAAGAUGUUGUUAAACAGCUAUGCCCAUGAAGUAAAUGGUGAGUGACCGACCUAACGUAAGAUUUAAAAACCACAGCUGCCACCGAUGGAAAGAUCUGGGCAGUUGUAAGUGUAUCGUCAAGCAGUUUAAUAUCGACCGACACAAAAAGUGCAUAAUAUAUUUGUAUCAAUCUAAACUGUGACAGUGAGCUCAUCCCGUUUAUUAGAACUCGGAAAAUAGAUGUCUUGUGUGGAUAACAUUUUUGACAUAUUAAUGGAAUAAUUACAUAGUUCUGAGACAAAAUAACUGUUCUUAAAGGAAUGUACUUCAAAAGGGAAACCAACACUGGAUCGAUAUAAGAAAAAAAUUAUGAUAAAAUCUGUCUUUAUGUCCAAAUGGAAUUGUGUUUUAUAAUUUCCUAUCCCCAAAUGAAGGCUUACAACAUUUAUUAUUCAUGAACAUGUUGCACUGUUUCCAAAUAAGAUCUGAGCCAAAAUCGAGCCAGAAACAAUUUCCAACCAGGAUAUCCGAUACUAAUCACAAAUAUGUGAAUGCUUCACACGUCUGAAACAUUAGUGUCUUGGCUACAAUAUCCACGUAUCUGUUCCCCCAAACACAACAAGUUAGAAAAUAUGUCAUCUAAGUUAGUCUAGAAAAAUUGCACGCGGCAGUGAUUAUGUACACUUUUUACAUCUAAGCCAGAAGCAACAACAAAAACGAGGCAACGAAUCACCAGCCCAGACUACGCUGAAUACGUGGAUAUCUGUAACAUUUCUCUCAGAUAAGCCUUGCCGAAGCCAGAGUAAAGUAACCAUCACAGUGUAUGAAUCAUAAAUGCCCCACCUUUGACAUUUGUAAAGAAAAUAUGAAUUUAAUCACCAUUAUUUUGAGCGAGAUACAUCCAUCGGCUAUUGUAUGCACCUCGCAGACAAUUUCAUCAAUUUCUGCGCCGGUUUUUGGGGUGUCGGGUUUCUAAGCCAAUUGUCACCCUCGACUGUCAUUUUACACUUUUAGAUUAACAACACUUAGAUUUGUUGUUACCGGGUGGUUACGGGAGCUGUCGCCUGCACAAAAGCCUGCCUUAGAGUAGUUUAUCUUCACUCCAUCAAAGUCAAACUUUUAAUGACUACUGUCCACAUACUGAGCUGUCACAAAGUCUCAGCUUGAUACCUCCAUGUUUUAUACCGCUUGAUAUCCUGUGAGGAUUUUUUUUUUUAGGAUAUUCUCAAAAUUAUCCUUUUUUUUUGUUAUAUUGAUUUAUUUCUUCACCAGACCAGCAUGCAAGUGCUCUGAUGAGAUUUUGUGAUAAAACGGUAAGAGAAAAUGUGAUAGUGAUUUUUAUCAGAGCAAUCAAAGAGGUUCCCCUUUAUCCUGACAGAAAGAAAAGUCCAUAGAGACAAAGUAGUUUUUACACAAGUUAUUGCCAUUGCCAGAGUUGUAUGCCAUUGGAGCAAGGCCAAAAGACAGGCUAGGUGUGGUUUCAAACUUAGCAGUAUCAGGCAAGACUCUAAGGCAGCAUAGAACACAACUGCUACUGAAUAAAUCAAUCUGCUUGAUAAAACAAUAUGUUGAUUGUUGUGUGCGGAUGUUUGCGAAACACAACAAUAAAGAGGCACGCAGCAGUCACAUUAGUGAGCAUUACCUGUUUUUGCAACGACUGCUUUUAGUUAUAUUCUUCCAUUAUCUUGGAGCUUGUUAGAUGCUGCACUGUGGGGACCUGGAGCUGAUCCAACCUAAUGUCGUUCAAAGGAACGGUUCACACAAGACAGGUUGCCAGACUACGGCAGAGCUGACAACCGUCCACGCUCACACCUACCAAUCUAACCCGAGGAGAACAUAUGAACUCUACGCAAGAGGGCCGCCAACUCGGAACGAAACCCGGGCCUUCUCCUUCUCCUCCCACACUCACUGAGGGCGCAACAGAAAUACAUUGAGCACAGCAUUCCCAAGGCUGGGGGGGGGGGGGGGAUCUGAUUGGAAAUUCUGGGGAUAGUAUUCAAGUCAUUCCACCUCUGAAGGUUUAGGGAGGUCCAUGGCAUUCCAUGUAAGAGAGCCUGGUAGAUCCAGCUCACUACACCACUGUUUUUUACUCCUAUUUGUAAACCCUGUAAUCUGAUUCAACGACAUUAUGGAGAGUUCACCAUACAGAUCAUAUUUGGCAUGUUAGUGAGUGGGAGAGAGAGAGAGAGAGAGGGGACGACAAUCAACGAUGGACACAAUUUAGACGUUUAGCACAUCUUUUUCCCCCGGUCCAGGAAGUAUUUAGAGUCAUCAAAAUCCAGAGGAUACUUUUUACUCGCCAUUAGCGAUGCUGUGUAUGUGCAAGCACUAAUUAGCCUCCAUUACCUUGGAUAAGAGCUGCAGAGAAGGGAGAGCAUCAAAUUUUAAUGAGCCUCUUGUAGCCCCUCAGAAUAUUUGCUGUAUUUUAAGUGCUGCAUUGAACACCCUCUCUCUUGCACAAACACGACUGGUGCAUUCAAAAGGAACAGGCAAAUUUAGCAAAUAUGAGUGAUAUUGGGUCAUAGGAGAACAUCAUGUGCGAUGGUCUGCCCUUUUCUUGGCUGGUGGCCAUUUGUAAGAUGCAGGAACAAUUUUCGGGUAACAUGCUUCAUUAAUAUUUUACGAAUUGCAGAAAAAGAAACUGCAGAUUGAGGUGGUAGUGAUGGAACACCCGCUCAUCCAAUAUAACGUACGGGUUAAUCGAUCACUUGAAUCUUCAUGAACUGAACUGUUCAUCCUCGUAACCACUGAUAUAUUCUUAUAUUUCUGUCUGACGAUGCAAGCUCAUAUUGCAGUUUCCAGCAGCUCUUGCUUUGCAGUCAGCCAGCUCUCAAGCAGCAUUUUCAGGUCAAAAAAGGAAAUGCACAUUCAAUGCGUCAAUCAUUAACCAAUAAGUGUGGGGGAUGUAAAAAGACAGUGCCAGCAGUAGAGGGGGCGGUGGUUGGGUCCAACAAAUACCAAUUUCCCCUCCAUGAGUCGGCUGUUCAUGGCGCACACUAAACGAGAAGUGAACAUUGAUUUAAUUGUCCUUAGGUAAAUCUACUGGCCUAGCAAUUUUAAUCCAAAACAUGAUCUUUCGCUAAAUCAAAGUCAUGUAUUGCGUUUAUCUGUAAAAUAUCUGAUCAUUAGAAUUCUAAUCCAAAUUGAUUGAAUUUCAAAAGAUACCCAACCCUGGAAUGAUGUCAUCUGGCACGGUUUGAGUUGACUUCUUCUAACCCUGUUAUGACAUUUGCAAUGGUAUCGACCCAAAGACUGGUUCCUUCAAACCGCCUCUAGAAGAGGUUGAUCAAAAGUUGUGACAUUUCCCGUGUGAAGCCUCUGCUGUGGAGGAUUCUAAAGUGUUUGAUGAGUAUCUGAUAAACCCUCAUACUGACCAGCACACACUUUAGACAGACAGAGCGUCUGCCUCCAGGGCCACUAAUGGACACAGAGCAGCAGAGAUCAAUACAACCAGACGCGCACACACACACACAACUGCCUGAGAGGGGAAGUGAUCUAACUCGAAGGGAUUAAUGGACUUGCUGGUGCCUUUAGUUUGUGUUGCAAAUUUUGUUAACGGAAAUUAGUGUGAGUUUCUCUGUAUUCUUGUAGAUAUAUUCAGUAUGGUUGAUUUAUUGUUGUUCAAUAGCUGCUGGGCAUUGGAAUAUAUUUCAAAACCAAAGUCACAGUAUGAUGGUGACUGAGGGCUGAAAUAUUUUAUACUUUCCGGCCGACUAGAGCAGUUGCGUUUUCAGUGAAAGAGUCGUUUCUGAAAAAGAGUACAAAGCCCCUGCUCCAGAACCAGGCGAUAGUUUCUGGGAAACCUGCAACAGAGUGCUGUUUUCCAUCUCCCAAUUUUACCUCUCCAUCUUUGGGAGAGGCCAGGAUGGGGAGGCAGAGACCUGGCCUCGGAUUUGUUGAGAAUUCAAGUAUCCAUCAGAAACCGUCGGGCAAGCGUGACACCUCAUGGAGCGGCGGCUUGCGUCAGGCAGCCUAGAUGACUACUGGCUCCAAAGCUGAAAAGCCCCUGUAGUCCAGCCGUGGUAAGGAUUGUGUCGACACAGUCAGGGGUAUCCCAGAAUGAGGGGGAUGCGGGAGACUUGCAGGAUAUGGAGGCAGAUGGUCUUGUAGCGGUUGCCGAACAUGUGUCCCUGUUCCUAGAACAGCCUGGGGAAUGGGUAUCUGGUCAAGCCUCUAUUGUCCAUAAUGGACACGUCUGCUCUGGAAUGCAGGAAAGUUUAAAUAGCGUGGGAGCCACUGGGUAAUAUUAGCUGGGCACGGAAGAGUGGUAGUUGACUGGCAGAGGAUUGGGAAACUGCUCGGCUCACCGGUGCUUCCUCCUUUACUGGUGAGCCCCAGCAUUUUAAUGGGCAAACAAAAUGACCCAUCUGGCCAAAGUACAUACAGAGGUUGUCCAGUUGGCGCCGCUCACAAUCAUGCGUAGAUAGUCCUGUAUGUUAUACUUGGUUCGCUCUCAUGAGGAAGCGUGUAGCCCAGAACAGUGAAAUAAGGAAAGCAAGAGGAUAGUCUUCAGCUGGACGGCGCAGCCGUCUGACCUGGAUGCUGCAAUGCAACCCAAUAGUAAUCUCGAUAAGUACAUCCAUAGAGGCGGGUAGCUUGAACGUGAUGAUUCCGCCCUUGACGUAAUCUAGUAGACAGAGUAAAUACGUGUCACACUGGGUGUCUGGGUUUCAAGAAUCUCAUCAAGCCUUGGGUCCAGAAAUCAAUGGCAUAAACCGUGACCAAAUGACGGCCCCUCUGAAGCCUCAUUCGUUCUCCGGUGACAUCCGGUCCUAUGGAGGCCUGUCCCAAAACCUUGGGGAGCUUGUCGGAGAAGAACUGGAAACGACGAUCCUAUUGUGCUGACAAUAUAUCACUAUAGUGUCCCAUAGAGUUGACACGAACCACCAACCUGGCACUUUCUCAGGAAAGGGACCACCACAGUCUUGUGUUGCUGGAUCACUUCCGUGAUCGCCGCAAACCGGACCUAUGGGGUGAGGUUUCCUGCUGGAUAAAUGUUCUGGCCAGAAUGCACGGGUGAGGUACGAACCUGGAAGCAGUACGAUAAAAACAGCAGCAGUUCAAAUCAAAGUCUUUAUUUUAAAGACUAACAAAACGGGUUAUAGAGUUACCAGGAAAAGACGUGGUCAGAGACAAAAGGGUGGGUGAAUAACCGGGGCAAGGUGAGGUGAUCCAAGUCAGGCAGGCGCAAGAGAAACUGCGGGACAAUCUGGCAGCAAGUGAGUGAGUGACUGGGGUUUAAAUACCGAAAGGGGUGCUUAGGGUAGACAGGUGAGUGUGAUUGAGCAUGACGAGUUGGAUGUGACUUGCAGGUGCACUGAAUCAACUGAUAAGGUGAGUUAGAGGUAGAGAAGACAGGGCAGAAGUGACAAAGCUGUGACACUCAUUGCAACUGCGAGCGUGGUUCAGCCAAACCAAUGCAGUUUUUUGCUUCAGAAUUUGAGGUUAGUCAGGGAUCCUUGAUCUUAAACUGAGACAUUACUUCUUCUUACUAUAAUUUUCUAAUCCGUACGCCCCAUAAAGAGAUUAACAACUGUAGCUAUUCAACAACAAUUAAAUUAAGUACAUUAAACUAUUAUACUGAGUAAAGUGUAUUGUUGCAUCAGUACUGCUCUUUGUUUUCCUUUGGUUUUUGUAAUUGUGCAAACUUGGUAUCACUGCUGAACUUCUAGAGACCUAGAAACUUGUCUUGGACGUGUAAUCCAUCAGCUAAAAAAAACCCAUCUCCCAGAUUACUUUUUUAAUAGCUCGCUAACUCCCUAAUUUAAUUUGUUUGCUGAGGACACAGAAGCAUGCAGGAGAUGAUGACACAAACAGUUCCGAAGGGUUUUUGACCACCACACCAUUUCCUGGUGGAUGGACAUUAAUUCUGUUCAUCUGCCAGUGUCCCCCCCUGUUUGUCUUCUCUAUUACUUAUCAGUAAAAUGGAUCAAAAUCAUUAGAAAUGAGUCUGUGUUCGCCCGGUCUACACAGGAGUUCAAUUACAGCGUAUAGAUCUACUUUCAGCUAAUGUCUUCUGAAGACAAACAAAGCGCCAAACUUAAUGAGCAGCUCGCUAGAACAAAUUUGGACAAAAUUGAAUUAGACCCUGCUCUGAUGCCCGCCCAUGCUGAGUAUCCUGCAGAAGAGGCCGUUUGUCAAUGCCACAGAAGCGACGGCGUUAACGCGACUUAAAAACAGAGUCCGGCCACGUAACUUGCUCAGGACCUGGUUAUGAAAAGCACAAUGUAAUUAUAAGUCAUUUUAAGACUCAUAGCAAUUAUUGUUAGCUAUCAUCAGCCACACAAAGCGGCAGCCACUCCACUGAUGGCCUAGAAACUGCCCCCAUUUGUCACUGUCACACAAACACACAGGAAAAUACACAGGCAUACAAAUAAACACAAAUGCAAUCAACUACACAAUACAUAAAGGGUUUGUGCAGAGAAUCAGCUUUGCUCAGCUAUUGAAACAGGUCUAGCUUUGUGUUCAUUGUCAAUGGCAGUUAACCAAUCAGAGCUUUGAACGCGGGAUUAAGGAAGCAACUAUUACUUCUCCCUAGAUAACUAAAUAACACAUUUCAGAGUAAUGUACAUCCUUUUAAGAAUUGACUGAAUAAUGAAGUGAUCUAAAUGACAAUCAUGACCAUCCGUCUUGUACUGACGAUGGAGUUCCUUUUUGUACAAUUAGAGGUGCCAGCUGCCACUCACCAGCAACGAAAUUACCUCCCAACUCCUCAAAUUGGUCAGUGUACCUACGCUUUAAACUAUGGCGCUCAGGGUACCCUUUUAGCAUCAGAUUUGCUAAUCUGUAAAUCGACCACAGAAAUUUACUGUAACAAGCAAAAUCUACUACGUCCACUUAACCAGUGUCAGCCAGUGUGGAAUCUACCGAACACAACUGUGGUGUAAGAACGCAUCAUUGGCUUAGUUUCAUGAGGGAGGCGUACCGAGGCCUCCCAGGUGCAAUGUCUGUGAUUUUAUGUGUUUUUCUCUAUCCUACAUCCAUGGAUACAGUUGACUAGUUCACAGGGACAAUGCUUAAUUGCAGUGCUGUAUGUAUGGAAUUCAUAAUGGUUGAUAGUUCAGUGUUUUUGGUUUCAGUUUUCUUGUCCUAUUUGCGAUUUUCUCAGGGAUUUGUCCAUUGCAGUGUGGACUUCCUAAAGACCUCCUCUAUGCAUGUGUGUGUGCGCGCACAUUUGCAGGGUACACUCACCUUCACCCAUUUCCUUGACCCAGUUUGAAUGUUGUGUCUCCGCUGCCCCUUUUUAAAGCUGAAGGAAAAGAAAUCCCAUUUAAACCCCCACCCUCCUACAUCUCUGACCUUCUCUGCUGCCCUCUCUCUCUCUCUCUCUCCCACACACACACAGACACACACACACACACACACACACACACACACACACACACACACACACACACACACACACACACACACUACAUGUUGUCCUCUUUCUGCCUGGCUUCACCACAGAAUUUGGGCAGAACAGUUAAAUUAUUCAGUACCUCCCGUCCUACACACACAGACAGUCCCUCCAGAGCGCUAAAGUAUGAAAGAAUAGGUGGAAAUGAAGAGAGCUCACACCUCGUGAGGUUCAUCAUGGUCUCUAUUUGAGCACCACAGCUGCAUGCGGCCUCUUUUGCAUGCAUUACAAAUAUUGUUGGAGUAAUCAGUGUUACACAGCUGCAUUAUUCAAUGUUCUUAUGGUAAGUAACACAAUUUUUCUUAACUAACCAGACAUGAAAGCGCUUAGCUUCGCAAAAAUAAAAACUGGUUAUCUGUGACGGCGUUCCAGGAAAAAUACCAAGCUAAGCUCUCCCGCUCCCGGUUAUUGCAGUAGGUCCUGCAAAAGGGAAGGAAAGGUCUUCCAGCAGGUUCCACUAAAUUUAAUGGUAAUAUGGAAGGUGAAAGUCAGUCUUAAUGAAAAUUAUUACCAGCUCCACAGCUCACUUCAUUUUAAGGUGUGCCAGAUCAGCUAAAAAAAAACCACAGAAUUAGUCGAGUAAUGCGAAUAAUGCCGGACGGACUCAGAUGCUCCACUUCUGGAACACUCUCAUUGGAGGUUUGAACCAUGAUGAAGAUGCUAUAGAGCCUUCACGCAACCAAAAAUUCCCCAGUGAGUUCAGGCUUUUGGUUCUGGAGGGCUGAUGUGACAGUUUCAAAAGAAAAUCUUGAGCCUGUAAAAUGAAAUUUUCCGAAAUGUUAUUUUAAAGUGUGAAUUCCUCAUUUUUUCGCAGCAUGCCAAAUAAUGCCAGAUGAGGCGACCACAUCUGGACCCAACUCUGCUCUCACUGUGCUGUCUUGUCAUCUUUGUUCCCCAACAUGCUUUUUCUUUCUUGACAGCGAAGCCCUCUCGGUCUCUGGGUUGUUAUUUUGGUUUGUUUUCUCCCCUAAGGCCAAGCUUAUCAUUCAGACCCUGAAGUAUCGACGCCAAUCCCAGUCUGGUUCCUAUGCGCUUCUCAGCAGGUGGCUCCACAGAAACACACACACACACACACACACACACACACACACACACAAGGAUUUCAAUGUUGAUGUCCCGAGGGACAACAACGAAGGAAGGAAAAAACAAAAAAUAUCACCACUCCUGCUUUGGCUCAUAUGGAAUUAAAGAGCUUGCUGUCUUCUGUUUCAGAUUCUUAUUUAACCUCCAGCAGUCCUUGCAACCAGACAGAUUUUGUAGCCUGUGGGUUAUCACAACCGGCACACACACGCACACACACACACACUGAAACACAUACAGAUACCUAAUAGAUGAAUCCUUGGCUACAAAACAGUGCAGAUGUCACCGCUGGGCUGGUGAACGGUCUGCCAGCCUACGGCUCAGAUAUAAUUACAUUCCAUGUUACAAUGCAACAGAAUUUGUCUACAAUUCUUAACACACAACAGCUUCAAAGUAGCAAAAUAUAUGUUUGUACAAGGAAAGUGGUGAAUGUUGAACUAUCGACAUAUAUCCGUACCCACUGAACCAGGAAACAGACGCUCACUCUAAUUGAAGUCCUCAAAGCAUUGAAAUAUUUGGUAGUCAAAGAAGAUAUUUAAUAUAUCAAGAGGCCGUAUCGUUUCUAUUGACUAUUAUAAGACCUGAUUAUUGGUAUCUGUGAAAAUAAUUAAAAACCAAGACUGCCACCAUCGUAAAUGUGUGAUGUACACGUGUGGUUACAUACAUCUGAAGAAGAGCAGCAGAUGGCCGUUUAAUGUCCUGAUAGCAUCUUCCUCAGUGUUCAGACCUCAAAAAGACAAAAUCCAAAAGGCCCGUGGCAGUUAUCCACGCAGAGAUGUGAGAAAUACAAGCUAAGUACCUGUGGCAUUUAUUCAAAUGAAGUACAGAUGGUGCACAAAAGAUAGAGGAGCAGCUGAGGGAGGAGAUAAGGAAACUAUGUAGAGGUUGUUUGGUGUCUGGAUCCAAACGGCUCAGUGUGUUGGUGGACCUCUCGUGUGACUUGACACUGAAGAGGAAAGUGUGAUUGACAUCAAUUCCCAGCCAUACCUCGGAGACUGGUGUUAAUUUCUUACAUAGAACCAGAAGUCAACUGUGAGUUUUUGCUAUAAAGAAGUUACGUACGGUCAUAGUUCUUCUAUCGGUUGUCAUCAUACCCCUCAUGAACUAUAGUUUUCUACCUGCCAACGAAAAAAUGUAUAAACUCUGUAAUUUUCCCAAAAAGCUGGAAACUUUAGUUUUUAGCAAACGUUACUUUUUACUAUUUCGGUUGCUGAUUCGAACACAUUUGGUGCUCUGGUGAGUUUCGAGCUAUAUAAUUUAAUAAUACACGGACAAUAUAUUCUAAAAGUGGGAUUGGCUCAGAUGGAUAAUAUAAGCCACAGACCCUAAGUGGUGCCCACUGUGAUCGUUAUUAACGGAAAAAAAUAACGUUUCUUGCACUGCAAGCAAAAGUAAAAACAUAUAAACUGAGAAUAAAUGAAUUGUUAGUUUUGCUAAUGCAACCAGCUGCAAAUCUAAAACCUAGCAGGUGAGUUUGGAUGUAGUGGGCGGGGCUGAAUGAGCUCCUGCAGUUUCUAUUGGUGGGUUCAAUCUGGCUCUUGGCACACUAACGGGAUUUCACUGUGAUGAGCGAGAUUUAUGACAGGGAGGUAAGUUGACAUUAUAUUGUUCUGUUUUGUCAAAAUUAUUUUAAAUUGCCGCACUUCCCUUUAAUUUCAUGUUAUUAGUGUCGUGUCGUGGAGUCUAAUGUGUUGACAUCAAGCCCCACUUUCUGUUAGAGUUCCGAGAGUCGAACCCACCAAUAGGAACUCCAGCAGCUUAUUCAGCCCCGCCCACUAUAUCCAAACUCAACUGUUUUGAGAGCAAUGGGGAUGUGUUUUUAAUCAUCUUUGGACAACAACGGAGCUCUUUGGCUCAGAGGUAAGUGUGUUAAUAGGAUCAUUUUGUUGUUUUCGUCUUUUUUAUGGGAUUUACUUCAGACUCUUACCAGACUCAUAUGCUGGAAACAAAUAUCCUGGAGGGUUUCACAGGAUAACAAUAUGUAAUCAGUGGUGCCUUACGGCUCCAUCAACUAGUGGUGUAACAACCGCCGUGCUUAAUACGUUAUUCAUUAUAUUAUAGACUUUAUUUAACCACAGGACACUUCUUUAAAAAAAAGCAGUUACGCGGUGACCAACCAGAAUAUGGAACACUUAUCACAUUCCAGUUCUAGAACUCUAGAAUCCCCGCAAUUGUACUCUGGAAUUUAUUUCCAGCUCAGAAUGCACUCUGCUCACUUGUGCCAGAAACCUCAGAAAGAAGAAAAAGACCUAUAGAAUAGAAAUAUCAACAUAAUUCAUUGAAGGAUGUAGUGGAACCUUUGUAAGCACCAAGGUAACAGUAACGUGAACCCUGUUUUAGUGACUAAAACCAGAAGUACCAUGUCUUAUUCCAUUCAAAGAUGUCUGAUACACACAUAUACAAGCAAACUCUGCAGCUCUGCUGGAAUAUGGGCAGUUACAAGGCUCGCGUAAGACCUGCUAUCAGUCCAUAAUCAGGAAUCAGGAAACAUUUAUUGCCAUAAUAUGUCAGACAUACAAGGAAUUUGACUUAGCGGUUGGUGGGUAACAGCAGACAGUACGACAAUGGACGACAAGACAACAGUGCACAAGGAAUAAAAUAAAAUAUAAUGCUAUGGGUUGGUAGUAAAAGGCUAUGGGUUAGUUUAAAAUAAAAGAAUAAACAGGAAGUUUCAUAAGUGACGAGUGAAAAGUGACGUGUGCAGUAUGAAAGAAAGUGACCGGUGGAAUGUCAGCGUCAGUCAGUGGGGGACCGGGCUCUGUUCAUGAGCCUGAAUGCCGACGGGAAGAAACUGUUUGUGUGGCGGGAGGUCUUAGUCCUGAUGGACUGCACAGUUCAGCACAAUUCUCCUGGCAUCCUGGGCUUCGAUGGCACCAGAACUAAAUUAAUUUCAUGUAAAAAGACCAUGUGCAGGCGAGAGUUGGGAGAAAGUGUCGGGUAGGUGGAGGCAGGACUGAAACGCAGAGUUUGAAAACACAAGACUUUAAUAUUAAAAGAUUUUAAAGAAAAGGCAAAACGCGGACAAGAACCAGGAACAGGCAAGACACUUCGGGAAUGACAUGCAUUCAUUCAGGGUUGAACAAGCAAUGACGCAACAAAGGACACUUGACACACAGAGCUUAAAUACACUGGGAGGUGCAGGUGAUUGGACACAGGUGGAAACAAUCAGACAAUCACACGGGAUGACAGGACAAGGCAGGAAGUGAAGUUCAAGGGACACAAGGGGCAGGAAACUACAAAAUAAAACAGGAAACAAACCCACACCGUGACGAAAGUCUGUGUGUUUGUGCAAAUCAUUUGGAAACAAACUGUUUUCUGAACCCGGGCCAAUAAAACGCUGGACUCACGUCUGGUUCCACAGUACUCUGCUGCGGCUCCAGACAAAAGGAGCCCUUCUGCCUGACCUGAGAUCAUUGCUGCAGAGCGCGUCUCCUUGAGAACCAGCUUGGAGGAAACAGAGCUGCCACCCGCAAGUCCAGAGACAAACCCCUCUGAGGUCCACCAAAACACGUUCUCCUACAACCGCUGCCCGACCUCCAUUGAUUAUUGAUGUUCAUGACAGGGGAGAUGUCAUCGAUGGGCAAUGAUCAAGAACCCACCAGAGAAGCAGACUGUGCUGCUGCUCAUGCUUCUCUUCCUCUUCAACUUGCGGUAUUGUUGUUGUGUCAAAAGACGACAAGCACAAAGAGACGAGAGGGCGUCACUUCUGGCUCUCAAACGUUCAGCUGCUGCUGUGAAUGUGGAAUGUUUUUUCAUUUAGUUUAAUUUAAUUUAACAAUGUAAUGUUUUGGGGGAAAUGAAACAUGUGGUGUUGUACUUCAUCAUCUACUUGUACAAAUCCGCAAAUAGAUAUUUAAACUGCAAAACUACCCACAAUAUUACCCACAAUAAGUAAAUAAAUAAAAUUAAACCCAAAGGCAGUGGUACUAAGUAUGAAAAGGAAAGUGUGCUCAACAUUGGCAUUUUUUUGUAAAUAGGAGAAUAAUCCACUGGCAUGUGAAGGCCGAACUACUGCAUACAACUGUACACAGAACUAUGCAGGCCAGCAGUCUCUUAGUAUUUUGGGAAAGAUAAAAUAACUGAAAUAUAUAUUUGUAUACAUCUUAUAUACCUCUAGAAGACUAAAAAAACAUAAUAGGCCAGUUUGCAGUGCCUGAACAUAAAGGUCUAAGAAUUGUCCAAUUAUUUCACAUAACACCACAAAUUAACGCGCUGUGUAAUAUUAUUGAUCUUUUCUAGCAUUCCUGUUAUGUUUUUGUGUUUAUUAACCGAAAAUAUUUGUUGUCUCUUCUCUCAUCUUUUUCUGCUUCUAGCUCUGCCGCCAAAAGCUCUUUCUACCAAUCCAGAAU
ensembl:lncRNA